CCCUUUACCCAAUCUCGUUUUUGUAUACAUUAGAUGUAUAUCCGUGUAUAUGAGCAUAUAUAUCAGCUUUUUUCAUGCAUCUCCUGCUUCCGAACACCUGUAUUUUACCUCCGCCCUAUGUUUUUUCAUUUUGGGCUUGUAUAUCAGUGUAUACAACAUGUAUACGACUCAUUGUUCGGCUCUAAACAUCCAUGUUUUAUGUUUUCCAGCCUUGUGCUUCAAUUUUCUUUGCCCGGCUGACCCGGAUUAUGAAGAAAAAAUAAAUAAAUUGAGCCUUUGUGGCUCAACUCGAGGAUGCUAGGAAGAAAAGUCCAUCAUGGACUCGGAAAGGAUUCACAUGCAACAAAAAUAAGCAACUUAUAAGCAACAACUCACAUUAAUUAAAAAUAGGAAAAUAAAGAUGCACAUCUUUGUGCUACUGUCUAAACUCCAAAAAUAUCAAAAUGAUGACACAAAUAAAUCUUAUUUAACACUUAUCAAGACUAGAAACCAAUAAUUUGGGCAUGAAGAAACACUAAACACAUUUAAGAACCGAAGAUUAUUAUGUAGUAACAACUAGCCACCGAUAUUAACUAAACUUUACUUCUAAAUGACAAUUCCUAACAAUCAAUGAAGAAGAGGAAAUGAAGCAGAUUGUUAAUCACAAACCUUAGGGGGU
rnacentral:lncRNA from 1 species